rnacentral:rRNA from 1 species
AAAUACCGGAUUAAUACCGCAUACACUCUAUGGAGAAAAAGACAGGGGAGUCUUCGGUACCCGUUGUUGCUAUUGGAUGAGCCUAUGUCGGAUUAGUUAGUUGGUGGGGUAAAGGCCUACCAAGGCAGCGAUCCGUAGCUGGUCUUAGAGGAUGAUCAGCCACAUCGGGACUGAGACACGGCCCGAACUCCUACGGGAGGCAGCAGUGGGGAAUAUUGCACAAUGGGCGCAAGCCUGAUGCAGCUAUGCCGCGUGUGUGAAGAAGGCCUUAGGGUUGUAAAGCACUUUCAGUAGUGAGGAAAAGUGUUGUGUUAAUAGCGCAAUGCUGUGACGUUAGCUACAGAAGAAGGACCGGCAAACUCCGUG